rnacentral:lncRNA from 1 species
UUAAAAUCUGUUACAACCUAUUAUAAUAUUUGAUGCAUGUGAAAGAAGAUUAUCAAUUUCUUAUUUGACUAUUUCUUAUCAAGUUAGCUUAUGUUUCGUUACGAUUAUUCGGAGGAAAAAAAAGGAUACGAGUUUAAUAUUAUAAUCCAUGUGUACGUUAUUCAUCACGUGUCAACUUCGUUCUUACCGAUGGAUUGGGUGUUGUAUAUCAACUUGUACCAAUUACCCGUCUGCCCGACGGUUAAUUAAGGAUUGGGGCAAUGAGGCCCAGCAAUGCAGUUUCCGUGAUAAUAAUUAUCUACGAUGGUAAUUGAAUAGAUUGUUACGCCGUCGAGCAAAUCGAGACAUCGAAGAACCUAGAAUAAAAAAGAAUCAAGAAACUUUUGAUGUUUUAUUUAUGAUUACUCAUCUUUUAUCUGUAUGUUUUUGAAAUAUCGGUAAGGUGAAUAAUUCUGGUAGCAAAGUUAGUAAGAAGGGAACGCUUGGUGAGGCGAGCCUGCAGGCAAAACGGCUGGACGAGAUCAUGUAUGUGAACGUGAACAAGUAAUACGUUCAUAGACGAAGAAAAGAUGCCGAGGGAAACUGACCGUCGUCGUCCUGUACGCUGUAAAAAAGAGAAUACACGAGAUUUAUGUCGGCCCCCGGACUUUUCGUCACGCUUUGUUUAGGAUACGGUUUUAGUUUUGAGAAAACUCUUGGGGCUUCUUCCUUCUUUUUAAUUGCAACGGGUCAGUCUCAGUUGUUUAUUCAGCUCUGGGCCACUGGUAGUACAUAUAACACUGGCAACAAAAAUGAAGGGUAGAAAGCUCGAUUCGCCGAGGCAUGACCAACAGAGUCCUGCAAAAGCUCAUACAUAUGUAGACGACUCGGUCGGGACAUCAGGAACCAUGGGGAGGACCCUCCGGAAAAAUGAAUAUGCAGCCCCAUAAAAGUUUGUUCAUUCAUUCAUUCAUAAUGUCGCCAAGGACGAGACUUCUCUGGCUUGUAGAUUGUCAAGGUAGAAGGGACGAGUAGCAACCCUUCAUCGAAGGAGGUGGCGAAGGAAGAAAGAAGAAAGAGGUGAAGCUAGGAGGGGAAGGGAAAGGAAAGAACGAGGCUGAAUGCGGUGACUGUGACGCUUUCCGGUCAGGUGCCGCCCUGACGAUCCUUCUCCUACCAACUUCCACUUGGAUCCACUCAUUCA